rnacentral:rRNA from 1 species
GACGAACGCUGGCGGCGUGCUUAACACAUGCAAGUCGAACGGAAAGGCCCUGCUUUUGUGGGGUGCUCGAGUGGCGAACGGGUGAGUAACACGUGAGUAACCUGCCCUUGACUUUGGGAUAACUUCAGGAAACUGGGGCUAAUACCGGAUAGGAGCUCCUGCUGCAUGGUGGGGGUUGGAAAGUUUCGGCGGUUGGGGAUGGACUCGCGGCUUAUCAGCUUGUUGGUGGGGUAGUGGCUUACCAAGGCUUUGACGGGUAGCCGGCCUGAGAGGGUGACCGGCAACAUUGGGACGGAGAUACGGCCCAGACUCCUACGGGAGGCAGAAGUGGGAAUAUUGCACAAUGGGCGGAAGCCUGAUGCAGCAACGCCGCGUGCGGGAUGACGGCCUUCGGGUUGUAAACCGCUUUCGCCUGUGACGAAGCGUGAGUGACGGUAAUGGGUAAAGAAGCACCGGCUAACUACGUG